rnacentral:tRNA from 1 species
GGAGAGGUACCCAAGAGGCUGAAGGGGGGAGAUUGCUAAUCUCCUAGGGUCGAAAGGCCGCGAGGGUUCGAAUCCCUCCCUCUCCGCCA